rnacentral:rRNA from 1 species
GAGACCUCAGGUCAGGCGGGGCUACCCGCUGAGUUUAAGCAUAUCAAUAAGCGGAGGGAAG